UCUUCCUUUGACGAUG
rnacentral:rRNA from 1 species